rnacentral:misc_RNA from 1 species
GUGAAUCAUCGAAUUUUUGAACGCAAAUUGCACUCUCUUCGGAGAGUAUGCCUGUUUGAGGGUCAGCCUAAAAAAAAAAUCGACAUAGUCGCUUUUUCGCGGUGACAUUCGUCGGAAGUUGGUACAUCUUAAACCUUUGGAUUUUAAAUGGUUUAAAUUUUUCUUUACACUUUUCCUAGGGUUUCUAAUAUUUACU